rnacentral:rRNA from 1 species
GGCGUCGACCGGCGCACGGGUGAGUAACGCGUAUCCAACCUGCCCACCACUUGGGGAUAACCUUGCGAAAGUAAGACUAAUACCCAAUGAUAUCUCUAGAAGACAUCUGAAAGAGAUUAAAGAUUUAUCGGUGAUGGAUGGGGAUGCGUCUGAUUAGCUUGUUGGCGGGGUAACGGCCCACCAAGGCAACGAUCAGUAGGGGUUCUGAGAGGAAGGUCCCCCACAUUGGAACUGAGACACGGUCCAAACUCCUACGGGAGGCAGCAGUGAGGAAUAUUGGUCAAUGGACGAGAGUCUGAACCAGCCAAGUAGCGUGCAGGAUGACGGCCCUAUGGGUUGUAAACUGCUUUUAUAAGGGAAUAAAGUGAGUCUCGUGAGACUUUUUGCAUGUACCUUAUGAAUAAGGACCGGCUAAUUCCGUGCCAGCAGCCGCGGUAAUACGGAAGGUCCGGGCGUUAUCCGGAUUUAUUGGGUUUAAAGGGAGCGUAGGCCGGAGAUUAAGCGUGUUGUGAAAUGUAGACGCUCAACGUCUGCACUGCAGCGCGAACUGGUUUCCUUGAGUACGCACAAAGUGGGCGGAAUUCGUGGUGUAGCGGUGAAAUGCUUAGAUAUCACGAAGAACUCCGAUUGCGAAGGCA